UCCACUAACACCUAUGGAUUUAAUACCUUUACCUGUGCAUGAACGAGGUAGCUUGGAUGGGAAACGUAAGGCAGAGAUGGUGAAAGCACUCCAUGAAAGGGUCAGGAUGCAGAUCGAAGAAAAAGGAAAGCUGGUUGCAUCAAAAGCAAAUAAAGGAAGGAGACGCGUUACGUUUGAACCUGGAGAUUGGGUCUGGGUGCAUUUCAGAAAGGAGCGUUUUCCAGAACAGAGGAAGUCGAAGUUGCAACCAAGAGGCGAUGGACCGUUUCAAGUCAUCGAGCGGAUCAACGACAAUGCCUACAAAGUGGACUUACCAGGUGAGUAUAAUGUUUUAGCUACUUUUAAUGUUGCUGAUCUAUCUCUUUUCGAUGCAGGUUCAGAUUCGAGGAUGAAUCCUUUCGAAGAGGGAGGGGAUGAUAUGAAUCAAGGCACGUCCACAACCGAAGCGAGUCAAGCGACGAGUUACGGAAAGGAUCCAUUGAUAGUCGAAGGCGGACCGAUGACGCGAUCGAGGACGAAGCGAGUGAAAGAAGCGAUGGGAUUGCUUGUCAAGCAAUUGAUCGAUGAAACAAUGUUCGGGAGGUCAAAUGGAACAAGUUUCAUGUUGGGGCCGAAGGAACUUGGAUCAACGAGAUAAAAGCGGACGAAGACGGCACGGAGUUGGUCUAUGUGACCGCAGGCUCAACGGCCUAUGCGGCCGCAUAGAAGGCCACCGAAACUACAUGUGGCUGGCUGGAGUGAUCUAUGCGACCGCAUAGAUCAAAAAGUGGAAAAAAAAAUUCGUUUUUUUUUAAUUUUUGCCGAAUCUUCUAAUAUUGGUAGAACUCUUGUGAAAUCAAAAUAUUACCAUAUUUUGAUUAAAUUUGGACGUUUUUUAUGCCAUAGUAUAAAUAGGAA
rnacentral:lncRNA from 1 species